rnacentral:rRNA from 1 species
CAACAGUACGUGAAACCGCAUAGAGGUAAACGGGUGGAUCCGCAAAGUCGGCCCGCGGAAUUCAGCUCGGAAGGCUGCGCGCCUGCCGCCGGGUAGGAGAUCGCAAGACUCUCCCGGCGCGGGACGCGUGCCGGCCGUGUGCACUUUCCGUGGGCAGAGCGCCACGACCGGUUUCCGGGCGGUCAGAAGGCGGCGAGGAUGGUAGGCGCGCGCCUCGGCGCGCGCUGGUAUAGCCUCGCCUGUCCCGAUCCGCCUGGGGACCGAGGAGCCGCCGUGGGCUGGGGCUGCCUCGCCCUCCCGGGACGUUCGACUGGCAGAGACUGGGUGACCGUGUCUGCCGACCGCUUCCUGGGACGGACUGGGGUGGGCCCGCCCUCACAGGGUCAGUGGCGAAUCGGUCGGCCCUCCACCCGACCCGUCUUGAAACACGGACCAAGGAGUCUAACAUGCGCGCGAGUCGUUGGGUCGUACGAAACCCGAAGGCGAAGUGAAAGCGAGGGCCGUCUCUGACGUGCUCAGGUGGGAUCCCGGUCCCUCGGCGGGCUGGGCGCACCACCGGCCCGUCUCGUCCGCGUGU